rnacentral:rRNA from 1 species
CGGUAACACCAGCCCCUCGAGUUGUGGGGACGUUUAUUUGGCCUAAAGCGUCCGUAGCCGGCCCGGUAAGUCCCUCGUUAAAUCCAGCGUCCCAAGCGUUGGGCCGCGAGGGAGACUGCCGAGCUAGAGGGUGGAAGAAGUCAGCGGUAUUCCUGGGGUAGGGGCGAAAUCCAUUGAUCCCAGGAGGACCACCAGUGGCGAAGGCUGCUGACUAGUACACGCCUGACGGUCAGGGACGAAAGCUGGGGGAGCGAAUCGGAUUAGAUACCCGAGUAGUCCCAGCCGUAAACGAUGCAGGCUAGGUGUUGGGGCGGCCACGCGCCGCCUCAGUGCCACAGGGAAGCCAUUAAGCCUGCCGCCUGGGGAGUACGGCCGCAAGGCUGAAACUUAAAGGAAUUGGCG